rnacentral:tRNA from 1 species
GGCUCUGUGGCACAAUGGAAAGUGUGUGUGGUUUUCUAAGCUUUGGUGCUCACUCUGAGCUAGGUCAAUCAUUCCAAGCUUGUGGGUUCAAAUCCCACCAGAGUCA